GUUUUGGAAGACUAUCCAGAAAUAUCUUGUGUCGGUAACUCUGAUAGAAUUACGGCCGAAUACUGAAAUGUCACUCAAAUAUUUAAGUGUAAUUAUUUGAGACGCCGUUAACUUAAAAUUUCGCAUACUCAACAUAAGAUAAUGAAGUAAAAACUGAAGACGCAGAGCAAGUUCCAACUUCCAUGACGAUCUUUGCUGAAUUGACACCAGCUUCAACGAACUUGGUACCUGCACAUACCUCUAAAGCAGCUGGUAAUGUUGUGAUACCUAAAUUGAU